GAUGAACGCUAGCUACAGGCUUAACACAUGCAAGUCGAGGGACCGGCGCACGGGUGAGUAACACGUAUCCAACCUGCCCUUUACUCGGGGAUAGCCUUUCGAAAGAAAGAUUAAUACCCGAUAUAAAGGAUGGGGAUGCGUUCCAUUAGGUUGUUGGUGAGGUAACGGCUCACCAAGCCUUCGAUGGAUAGGGGUUCUGAGAGGCAGCGCCCCCGCAUUGGAACUGAGGCACGGUCCAAACACCGACGGGAGGCAGCAGUAAGGUAUAGUGGUCAAUGGUGGCUAGCCUGAACCAGCCAAGUGGCGUGUAGGAUGAAGGGUUAUGUAUCGUAGGCUUCUUUUAUAUGAAAAGAUGUAUUAGAUGAAUAAGGAUCGGCUAACUCCGUGCCAGCAGCCGCGGUAAUUC
rnacentral:rRNA from 1 species